UAUUUUAAUAGCUUAUAUUUAAAGUUUAAUAUUGAAGAUAUUAAGAGGAUAUUAUUAUCUUAAAAUA
rnacentral:tRNA from 1 species